UACGAAGGGUGCAAAGCGUUGCUCGGAAUUAUUGGGCGUAAAGCGCACGUAGGCGGCAUCGCAAGUCCCAUGUGAAAGCCCACGGCUUAACCGUGGAAGUGCAUGGGAAACUGCAGUGCUUGAGUACUUAAGAGGAUCGCGGAAUUCCCGGUGUAGAGGUGAAAUUCGUAGAUAUCGGGAGGAACACCAGUGGCGAAGGCGGCGACCUGGGAAGAUACUGACGCUGAGGUGUGAA
rnacentral:rRNA from 1 species